rnacentral:lncRNA from 1 species
GCCGCCAGACCUUGUCAGUCCUGACAGCAACAUGCGGCACGGACAUCUAGGGGCAUUGUCCCGUCGAGGGCGUUGUCAACCCUGGUGAUUUGACAGCCCCACGGCGACGUGACACUUUCACGGCGACUCUGACAAUCUACAGUGAGUUGACAAUUCCUCAAUUGUCCGCGCCAUUAAUGACGGCGCCAUACCUGCUCCACUAUAUAUAUCGGGGAGGGCAACAGUGCAAGGGAUCAGUCCAUUUCUCGACUCCAAAACCACAGGCUCGCUCCUCUCUCCCUCCCUCUCUCGAUUGAGCUCUCUGCCUUCAUUUCACUAUUGCCCAGUCACCUCUCUGACUUGACCGUCGGAGGGUCCCCGCCGGAGCCGCCUCCGGUCAGUGUGGACUUCUCAUUUUUGC